rnacentral:rRNA from 1 species
GAUGAACGCUGGCGGCGUGCCUAAUACAUGCAAGUCGAGCGAAUGGAUUAAGAGCUUGCUCUUAUGAAGUUAGCGGCGGACGGGUGAGUAACACGUGGGUAACCUGCCCAUAAGACUGGGAUAACUCCGGGAAACCGGGGCUAAUACCGGAUAACAUUUUGAACCGCAUGGUUCGAAAUUGAAAGGCGGCUUCGGCUGUCACUUAUGGAUGGACCCGCGUCGCAUUAGCUAGUUGGUGAGGUAACGGCUCACCAAGGCAACGAUGCGUAGCCGACCUGAGAGGGUGAUCGGCAACACUGGGACUGGGACACGGCACAGACUCCUACGGGAGGCAGCAGUAGGGAAUCGUCCGCAGUGGACGAAAGUCAGACGGAGCAACGCCGCGUGAGUGAUGAAGGCUUUCGGGUCGUAAAACUCUGUUGUUAGGGAAGAACAAGUGCUAGUUGAAUAAGCGGGCACCUUGACGGUACCUAACCAGAAAGCCACGGCUAACUACGUGCCAGCCGCCGCCGUAA